rnacentral:rRNA from 1 species
UACGGAGGGUGCGAGCGUUGUCCGGAAUCACUGGGCGUAAAGGGCGCGUAGGCGGCCUGGUAAGUAGGGGGGUGAAAUCCUGCGGCUUAACCGCAGGGCUGCCUUCUAAACUGUCAGGCUCGAGCACGGUAGAGGCAGAUGGAAUUCCCGGUGUAGCGGUGGAAUGCGUAGAUAUCAGGAGGAACACCCGUGGCGAAGGCGAAUCUCUGGACCGGUUCUGACGCUGAGGAGCGAAAGCUAGGGGAGCAAACAGG